rnacentral:rRNA from 1 species
AAGGGUCCGUAGGCGGACUCGUAAGUCAGUGGUGAAAUCUCAUAGCUUAACUAUGAAACUGCCAUUGAUACUGCGGGUCUUGAGUAAGGUAGGAGGUAGCUGGAAUAAGUAGUGUAGCGGUGAAAUGCAUAGAUAUUACUUAGAACACCAAUUGCGAAGGCAGGUUACCAUGUCUUAACUGACGCUGAUGGACGAAAGCGUGGGGAGCGAACAGGAUUAGAUACCCGGGU